rnacentral:tRNA from 1 species
UCCUGGUUAACCCAGUUGGCAGAGCGCUCCACUGGAAAAGGGGCAGUCCCUGGUUCGAUACCAGGAGCGGGCG